rnacentral:misc_RNA from 1 species
ACCUACUGUUUAAUUUUGAGGGUUCGUUUUUACGAAUACUCAAAAUUAGCACUUUAAGCAAUGGAAUUUAUUCGUUGGCGCUGUGCGUUAGCACUUUAAGCAACAGAAUAAACUGAACGCAUGUGAAGUUUGUUUGUUGGCGCUGUGCGUUAGCACUUUAAGCAACGGGAUUUAUCCGUUGGCGCUGUGCUUUAGCACUUUGAAAACUGCAUAUAUAUAUUUAGUGAUAUGACAUCUAAUUUGUAAUAUAUAAAGCUGAUAACUUUUAAAAUUAUCGAAGUUGAUAGCUUCUAAUCUAUCAAACCUUUUUAACUGGUCAA